rnacentral:rRNA from 1 species
AACGAACGCUGGCGGCAUGCCUAACACAUGCAAGUCGAACGAGACCUUCGGGUCUAGUGGCGCACGGGUGCGUAACGCGUGGGAAUCUACCCUUGGGUUCGGAAUAACAGUUAGAAAUGACUGCUAAUACCGGAUGAUGACGUAAGUCCAAAGAUUUAACGCCCAAGGAUGAGCCCGCGUAAGAUUAGCUUGUUGGUGGGGUAAUGGCCUACCAAGGCGACGAUCUUUAGCUGGUCUGAGAGGAUGAUCAGCCACACUGGGACUGAGACACGGCCCAGACUCCUACGGGAGGCAGCAGUUGGGAAUAUUGGACAGUGGGCGAAAGCCUGAUCCAGCAAUGCCGCGUGGGUGAUGAAGGCCUUAGGGUUGUAAAGCUCUUUUACCAGGGAUGAUAAUGACAGUACCUGGAGAAUAAGCUCCGGCUAACUCCGUGCCAGCCCCGCAGUAA